UUAGUCAAUAAACAUGCAUUUACUUAAGUGAAUAAGCAUUAAAAGAAUAGGAAGCUUAAAUAUUUGCCAGGAAGUGUAUGUGUUAGUUACUUUCUUCUUGGACUACCUCAAAUGCAACAUCCUCAUUGUCGCUUUGUGUACCUUCUGUCCUUCUCUUUGAGUUAUAUGUGAUUAUCUUCUUGGUAGUUUUCUAAGUUAAACACUCAAAAAGUAUUUCUUCUUUGAUAAGUAUGCUCCUAAUAUAGGUCAAAAUUUAUUUCUAAAAGAAGCACCAAUAGAAUCCUCCAACUGAUCUACACCAUCAUCUUCUCCCAUAAUGCCAAGUCUUUGUGAACUUGAGCAUCAUGAACUCUUCUUUUAAAUCCGGAGCAGCUUUAUAAAAUAAGCAUUUCAUUAUGAAAGAACAGAACUGGUGCAGAUUCCUUUUUCUUAUGAAAUGGCAAUUGGUUGGUUCCUUAUAAAUGAGCGAUAAUGUCUAUGAUUCAUUUAGUUUUUCUCAUGUAAAGAGACACUUGAACCUGAUUUCUCCUUUAUAAGAACCUUUAUUAACCACUUUGCUCUAACAUUAGCUUUGAGCCUAAUUUUGGAAUGGCUUCCUAUUGCUGAAGAACAUGCGUUUCAAACUGUGAUGCAACUUUCUUAAAAACCUUACUUUUUGAUCUUUGAAUGUCAGAUAAAUUAACCAAUACUAGUUUGGGUACUUUUGUCAUUCUGUACACUUUGAUCCAUAGGAUACUGAUCAUGAUGUGGUACUUCAUAUACAACCAUUCUGAAUGGUGUAACUCAUGCCUUUUAAGUUUUAACGCUGCAUUGCAUUUUCAGCAUAUCCUAAACUUGUGGUUCAAAGCUAAGAUUGUUGAUUCCUCUAUUGACUAAAAUAUUGUUAACAUGAUUGCACUCUCUCUCUCUCUCUCUCUCUCUCUGGUCCAGGCUUCCAUGUAGAUUUAUGUUUCUCAAGCCAGUGAAUUCUAGUUGUGGCUAGACUAGGUUAAUAGGGCAUGCUGGUAAAUGUGACUCUUCAGGUAGUUUUAGUUUCGUGUUCCGAGGAACAUAAUACAGUAACAAAUAAAAAAAAAUGCAUGAAUGACAAAUUGAUUGCAUCUUACCCCAUUUGUCUUUGUGGCCACCACUGGACAGAUUUAGCAUUACAUCCCAUUUGUCGUCAUAGCUCAAAAGUUGUGGCCACCAUUGGACAGAUUUAGCGUUACAUCCCAUUUUUCAUCAUAGCUCAAAAGUUUUGGCCACCAUUGGACAGAUUUAGCAUUACAUCCCAUUUGUCGUCAUAGCUCAAAAGUUUUGGCCCCCAUUGGACAGAGUUAGCAUUACAUUUUUACGAUUGACAGCUAAUUAUGGUUGAUAACCGAUGAUUGACAGCUAUGGACUGGACUCUGAUAAGUUUAUUGCUACAAGAGACAGCUAUAGACCAAACCUGGGCAGGUGUUAUCACCUAGACUUUCAGUUACAUGCAGCUUACGGGAUUGCCUCUAUAUGAAGUCUCAGUGUCCCUUCAAAAAUUCAUCCAGUACAACUUAAUCCUUCAGUUUCCAUUUCCUUUUAGCUUUACAAAAAUAUAUUUUCUUCUUGUACCCAUGCAUACUAGAAGUUGUCAGCAUAGGAAUACCAUUGUAGUGCUGAUUAUACACGUGAUCGAUUAAGAUGGAAUUUUACCCUUAUCAGAGUGCAGAUGACACAGAUUUUCUUGCUUUCUAUGUAAGUCAAUAGGCACCAAUGCUUCAUAAUAGGACUUCUAUCUGCUUAGAUUUCUUUUUCCUGAUUAAGCUUUAUUCUCAGUACUAAUCAAAUGCAUGAGUUGCAUAUCCGUUGUCAUAACUACCAUCAUGAUGCGCUUAUUUUCAUUCCUGAGUAGGCUAUAUAUUUGAAUUUUGCAUAAAGGACUAAUUAGCAUUUCCAUUGUUUGGAUCUCUAUUCGAUCUCGUGGCAUUGGAAUACUCUUCCAUGUUUGAGUCAAAUUUUGCAGUAGAUUCUGUUAUGACCCUACCCAAACCUGAUUUCUUUUGAAAAUCAUGUUCAUCAUUUGGACUUUCUUGAUAUACUAGAUUAACAUACUGUAUAAAGAUAUGUGGUUGGUUAUGUUUGAGAUGAAAGCCUAAAUGGGAAAAGAAGACCCGGAAAGGUUGCAAAAUAAGGAAAGAAGUAAAAGAACAUAUGGCAAUGGUUUUCACCCAUUCUGAAGCGAAAAUGCAUGGGAACCUAUUCUGUUUGAAACAUAAAUACAUGCAACUAUUCUAUUAAAAGGUAAAUGAAUUCACUCCAGCUGGAUUUUGAUUUGGCGUUUAGGGCUUAAUCUGCUUUUGUAGGCAUGCAGAACAAAGUAGAGAUGAAUUUUUCACCUUAUGAGGAGAUAGUAAUGCACAAUGACCAUGAUCUUUACCCUGAGUUUUUCUGUCGCAAUAUUCACUCAUUUGUACAUAAGAAAUUCGUUUUAAACUUAUAUCUAGUGCAGGCUGCAUGCUUGUUCUUUUAGACUUUUCUUAAUAUUGAACUCCUUAGUGACAUGGUUUCCAAUAGAUUUGCUUAAAGAUUAAUAUUGUGCUAACAAAUAUAGUAGGUAAAAGGUCUUGUUAUCUUUUAUGGUAUCAUGUGGUAAUGACUAUUGUGUGAGGCACAUUAAUGUCAAAUUGUAAAUUUCCAAAAAAGAAUUGAUGGACUUGAGAGCAGCUUUGGUUGUCAUGGUAUGGUCAAACAGAUGGUGAACAAACCAGACAGGGCAUCAACAUGGCAAUGUCAUACCGUUAACGACUGCCUUGAGUUGGUUCAAACUAAGAAGUCAUUCAUCAUUGAAGCACAAAUUUCAUCAAUUGCAGUAGCUC